rnacentral:rRNA from 1 species
CCUACGGGCGGCAGCAGUCGAGAAUCAUUCACAAUGGGGGAAACCCUGAUGCUGCGACGCCGCGUGGGGGAAUGAAGGUCUUCGGAUUGUAAACCCCUGUCAUGUGGGAGCAAAUCAAAAAGAUAGUACCACAAGAGGAAGAGACGGCUAACUCUGUGCCAGCAGCCGCGGUAAUACAGAGGUCUCAAGAGUUGUUCGGAAUCACUUGGCGUAAAGCGUGCGUAGGCUGUGUCGUAAGUCGUGUGUGAAAAGCGCGGGGUCAACCCGCGGACGGAACAUGAUACAGUGAGACUAGAGUAAUGGAGGGGGAGCCGGAAUGCUCGGUGUAGCGGUGAAAUGCUUAGAUAU